CCCCCAGUAACUGCGAGUGAAGAGGGAAGAGCUCAUCAUUGGAAUCUGGCAGCAAUUGUGCUGUCCGAGUUGUAGAUGAGAAGAGUGGGUCAUCUGGACUGCGUGGUGUCCAAGUACAAUAGGCCGUCAGUGGGACAUCAUAGAGGGUGACAAUCCCGUCCUUGACAACCAACGUACGAGUCCAUUACGAUGCCUAUCUCAGAGAGUCGAGCAGUUUGGGAUUUGCUGCUUAAACAUGGGAGGUAGAUUCCUUCUAAAGCUAAAUACAGGCAAGAGACCGAUAGAGAACAAGUACCGCAAGGGAAAGAUGAAAUAGAACUCUGUGAAGGGAGUCAAAAAGACGUGAAAUUGUUGCGAGAGAAGCGAUUCAAGUCAGCGUAGCUAGGCCCAUGAAGCUUUUUGCUUUGGACUAGCUUUGCCAGCGGUCUUGUCUGUAGACUUGACUUUUUGACGUGCCCAGCCCGGUCUAACGGGCAGGCCCCUCUGGGGCCCAGUGGCAUGGCUGGUGGAAUGGCUUGCAAUCGACCCGUCUUGAAACACGGACCAAGGAGUCUAACAUGUGUGCGAGUAUAAGGGUGGCAAACCUGUAUGCGCAAAGAAAGUGAUAGCCUUUAUGGCUGAGAAUGGCCUGAUGACCAGACAAGCAAUAUUAUGUUCCUCGUACGGUCAUUGCCCAAGUCCCAUGGUCAGAUCCCAUGGACAUGGAGUUAGAGCAUACAUGCUAGGACCCGAAAGAUGGUGAACUAUGCCUGGACAAAGCGAAGCCAAAGGAAACUCUGGUGGAGGCUUGUAGCGAUUCUGACGUGCAAAUCGAUCGUCUGAUCUGGGUAUAGGGGCGAAAGAUUAAUCGAACCAUCUCAUAGCUGGUUCCUGUCGAAGUUUCCCUCAGGAUAGCAGAGACAUUGUGGAAGUUGCAUGUGGUAAAGCGAAUGAUUAUUGACUCUGGGGCUCAAAUGGGCCUCAAUCUA
rnacentral:rRNA from 1 species